rnacentral:lncRNA from 1 species
UUGGGGAAAAUAUCAUUUAUUUGUUUUACAUGCCCCCAUCACAGCCCAUCAUCAAAGGAAGUCAGAGCAGGUCCACAGGCAGAAGCCAUGGAGAAAUGCUGCCUGCAGACGUGCUCCCCGCCCUUUACUCAGCCUGCUCUCUUAUGCAACUCAGGACCACCUGCCCAGGAACGGCACCGCCCCCACACACACUCACAACAAUCAUCAAUCAAGAAAAUGCUCCAGAGACACGCCCACAGCUAACCUGGGAGAGCCAAUUCCUCAGUAGAAGAUUUCUCUUCCCAGUGACUCCAAGGAUUGUAAAAGAAAGUUCCAAGUUUUUGAAGUGGCAGGCAUUUAUGACCAACAAGGCAACUUUAUUACUCCUGAAAUAAAUAACCAACUUGAGAGCUUGCCAAAACAUCCACAAACUACUUCUUUGAAUCCUCACUGCUUUGGAAAUGAAGAACCACGCCUGUCUUUAUGUAAGACCCAUGGGUUGUGGUUUUCUGAGCUCCAUGACUACACAGGGCAGGCCAAAGAAGCCGAGUUACAGCCUAGAGAGUGAUUAGAACUGACUGAGGAAACAGGAACCCAACUCUAAUUAAAGAAAUUGCUAAUUACCCUGCUCUCUGCAGACAUUACUCCAUUCUUGGUCUUCAGCCCUGGCAUGGACGAG